UGCUAAAGUAUUCUGCUCUUUACCUCUACUAUGUUUUUUAUAAGAACGUGUAGAUAAGUUUUUCAUCAUAUACGUUAAUGAGAAAAAAGACACACAAUACAGACAAAACAAUAACAACGAUGACGAUGAUGACGUCGGCAACGUAGAUAUUAAGAAACAAGACUGUGAAAUGAAUCUGCCCUUUUAUCUCCACUAUCUUUCCGAAGAGAACGUGCAUGUACGCUUUUCAGAACAUACGUAAAUAGGAAGAAAGACACACAACACAGAAACAAAAAAACAACACACACCCAAUAUCGAACAUCAUGAUCACAACACCACGAUCACAUUGACGACGAAGACACGAUUCCAACAACAACAUUAGGAAACAAUAUUGCCAAAAAUCUGUACUUUUAUCUAAGCUUGUGCAUAGAGGCAUGCAGGCUUUGGAACAAGUUUGGAUAAGUUAUCAUUAGUAUCAUCAACAACAGCACUAAAACCAGGCAAGAAAAGUGCAGAUAGGUUUUUCUGAAUGUACGGAAAAGAGAAACAAUGCACAAACAAACUCUACAACAAUUACUACUACAACAACAACAACUACAGCAGCAAUACAUCAACAAAUGUUUUGGGAAACAAGGUUGCUACCAGAAUCUACGUUAACGAGAUUCCUCCACCAUCACAACAACCAACACUGAUAUUAGGAAAAAAUAUUGCCAAAAUAGGCACGUGUAGGUACUGGAAGAAGUUUGUAUAACUAGUACCAUCAACAGCAGACAGGUCACGACAUCAAUAUCAACAAAAACAACCCAGGCAGGUAAUAACAUAUUUAACAAGAACAACAGCCCGGAAAGGCAACAAUAUAAAAAUUAGUAAACAAAUAGAUUUUAUACCUACAAUAUUUAUCAGAAAAACGUGCAGACGUAAACGUGAAAAAAAUACCAACACAACAACAACUUUAGCAACAGAACAUCAACACAAGAUUUGGAAACAAGAUUACCAAAAGGAAUCAUGAGUUUCAACAUUUCAGAAAGAUAGUAAUUCUGUAUCUGAACCUGCACGUUCUAGCAGGUUAAGUUUUUCAGAAUAUACGUAAUCAAUAAAAAAGAAACUCAACACAGUCAAAACAACAACUACAACAACGAGGACAGACACAAAUAAGAAUCUGCACUUUUUAUCUCUACAAUCUUGUCUAUAGAAAAGGUUGUGGACGACGUUGUAUAAUUGACGAUAUUUUGUCACUUUGUUCAGUUUAUAAAUAUAAUUCUAAUAACAAUAAUGUACGAUAUAACGCAUACAUUGAAGUUCCUAUAUUUUGGAAUGUUUUUAACGUUGAAUAGUUCAGCUAGGAGUCUUACUUUAUGAAACAUAAUCAUGAAACCAUUAUCAAGAGAGCUGAAGAUGUUGUUGGCUUAUUUCCAAGGCAUUUUUAUUUUAUAGCUUAAA